rnacentral:tRNA from 1 species
GCCCCUGUAGCUCAGAGGAUAGAGCACCAGCCUCCGGAGCUGGUAGCGCGGGUUCGAGUCCCGCCAGGGGUA